rnacentral:tRNA from 1 species
UUAGGAAGUGGUGUAAUGGAAGCACUAAGAGUUUUGAUCUCUUCGGCAGGGUUCGAACCCCUUCUUUCUAAG